rnacentral:rRNA from 1 species
ACAGCAGUAGCCACGGUAAUACAGAGGGUGCGAGCGUUAAUCGGAUUUACUGGGCGUAAAGCGUGCGUAGGCGGCUUCUUAAGUCGGAUGUGAAAUCCCUGAGCUUAACUUAGGAAUUGCAUUCGAUACUGGGAAGCUAGAGUAUGGGAGAGGAUGGUAGAAUUCCAGGUGUAGCGGUGAAAUGCGUAGAGAUCUGGAGGAAUACCGAUGGCGAAGGCAGCCAUCUGGCCUAAUACUGACGCUGAGGUACGAAAGCAUGGGGAGCAAACAGGAUUAGAUACCCCAGUAGUCCCUGUCUCUUAUAA